rnacentral:sRNA from 1 species
AGCCUAAACUCUACAAUUACUGUAGAGCAUGGCACAAAAUCGUUGGACAUAUUAACCCCGUCAUGGGCGUGUCCAACGUUACAAGUCGAAAGGCUUGUAUGCCGCAAGGCA